GCGGCUCGGCUGCAGCUGUCAAGCUAACAAGCACACAUCUACAACUUCCUGUCGUCCCUUUUUCCAAUUAAAAUAUGGUGACCUUGCAGGUGACCUUUGGUCCAGCUUGACACCCACUGCUACCAGUAUUAUAAUUAGUCAUAAUUCUAUUAUUAUUAUUGUUGUUGUUGUUGUUGCCGUGCUUCUCUGUGUCUCUCUCCCCCCUCUCCCCCUCCCUCCCUCUUUCUCUCUAAACCCAACCUGUCAAGGCAGAUGGCCGCCCACCCAGAUCCCGGUUCUGCUGGAGGUUUCUUCCUGGUAAAGGGGAGUUUUUCCUUGCCGCUGUCUCCAGUAUUCUCAGAGUGUAGCAGGAGUAUAAUGAGGUGAGUGGUGUGUGUGUGUGUGUGUGUGUGUGUGUGUGUGUGUGUGUGUGUGUGUGUGUGUGUGUGUGUGUGUGCCUAUUUCCAGACUCAGUGUCAGAUGUGGUUUUGCACCAUCUUGAGGACACUUGAUUCUAGUGCUGCCACGACACCUUUGUUGACAUAAGUAAUGAGUAGAAUUUGAACUAAAUUUUAAAAAUUUUAUUAAAUUUUUCUUUUUUAAUGUAUUUUUUUAAACUUGUGUUUGGCUGCAGUUUGCAUGUUCCAGUUACACUACCUCAACAAAGUUGUACGGACAAUUACUGGAUCACGUGAUCGUCUUGCACAACUGCACUCUGUCUGUUCCGUAUUUCUGAAUUGUGGAACAUUAACCAGAUUUUUAUUGAUAUAGAUCUUUUACACAAUCCACGUUCAUUAACACUGCUGCAGUUUUUAAUGCCUGUACCAAUUCAACAUUGCACACUAGAUUCUUUGUAUUCUCUAUUAUGUUUUAAAAUCUUUUUUCUUUUUUUCUUACCUUAAUUUUAAUUCUUCUUAAAUUCCCUCUCCACUCAAAAAUGUGAUUUUCUUCUUGUUCCUACAAUUGAAUGUUUGAGCUUCACUGUACAGAAUGAUG